AUAUUGGACAAUGGGCGAAAGCCUGAUCCAGCAACGCCGCGUGAGGGAUGACGGCCUUCGGGUUGUAAACCUCUUUCAGCAGGGACGAAGCGCAAGUGACGGUACCUGCAGAAGAAGCACCGGCCAACUACGUGCCAGCAGCCGCGGUAAUACGUAGGGUGCGAGCGUUGUCCGGAAUUAUUGGGCGUAAAGGGCUCGUAGGCGGUCUGUUGCGUCUGGAGUGAAAACUCAGGGCUUAACCCUGAGCCUGCUUCCGAUACGGGCAGACUAGAGGUAUGCAGGGGAGAACGGAAUUCCUGGUGUAGCGGUGAAAUGCGCAGAUAUCAGGAGGAACACCGGUGGCGAAGGCGGUUCUCUGGGCAUUACCUGACGCUGAGGAGCGAAAGUGUGGGGAGCGAACAGG
rnacentral:rRNA from 1 species